rnacentral:ncRNA from 1 species
UAAAAAAUUUUUUAAAAAUUUAUUUUACAUAUAAAUUUUAGUGUAUAUUUUUAAAUAUUUUAAAAAUAUUUAAUUUAAUUAAAUUAGUAAUUAACAUUAAAAAUUUAAGAAAUUAAGAUUUAGUAAUAUUAAAAUUAAUAACAAAUUUUGUGCCAGCAGUUGCGGUUAUACAAAAAUUAAAUUAAAUUUUAUUAGUAAUAAUUAAUAUAAUAGAAUAAAUUAAUUUAAAUAUUAAAUUAAUAAGUGAAAUUUUAAUUUAAUUAAAAUUUAUAAGUAAAAAAUUAUAUGAUUUAAUAAAUUUUAAUAUAAACUAGGAUUAGAUACCCUAUUAUUAAAAAUUUAAAUUUAAAAUACUAAAAUAGUAAAUAAUUAUUUAUUUAAACUUAAAUAAUUUGGCGGUAUUUUAGUUCAUUUAGAGGAAUCUGUUUAUUAAUUGAUAAUCCACGAAUAAUUUUACUUAAUUUAUAAUUUUGUAUAUCGUUGUUAUAAAAAUAUUUUUAAAUAAAUUUAAUAUUUUAAAAUUAAAAAAAAAAAUAAAUCAGAUCAAGAUGCAGAUAAUAAUUAAGAAUAUAAUGGAUUACAAUAAAUUUAUUUAUAUGAAUAUUAAAUUGAAAAAUUUAAUUGAAAGUGGAUUUAAAUGUAAUUUUAUUUAAUUUAAUAAAAUGAUUAAAAAUUAAAAUAUGUACAUAUUGCCCGUCGCUUUCAUUAAUAAAUUGAAAUAAGUCGUAACAAAGUAGAGGUACUGGAAAGUGUUUCUAGAAAGAA